rnacentral:rRNA from 1 species
CCUACGGGAGGCAGCAGUGGGGAAUAUUGCACAAUGGGCGCAAGCCUGAUGCAGCGACGCCGCGUGAGGGAUGACGGCCUUCGGGUUGUAAACCUCUUUCAGUAGGGAAGAAGCGAAAGUGACGGUACCUGCAGAAGAAGCGCCGGCUAACUACGUGCCAGCAGCCGCGGUAAUACGUAGGGCGCAAGCGUUAUCCGGAAUUAUUGGGCGUAAAGAGCUCGUAGGCGGUUUGUCGCGUCUGCCGUGAAAGUCCGGGGCUCAACUCCGGAUCUGCGGUGGGUACGGGCAGACUAGAGUGAUGUAGGGGAGACUGGAAUUCCUGGUGUAGCGGUGAAAUGCGCAGAUAUCAGGAGGAACACCGAUGGCGAAGGCAGGUCUCUGGGCAUUAACUGACGCUGAGGAGCGAAAGCAUGGGGAGCGAACAGGAUUAGAUACCCUGGUAGUCCAUGCCGUAAACGUUGGGCACUAGGUGUGGGGGACAUUCCACGUUUUCCGCGCCGUAGCUAACGCAUUAAGUGCCCGCCUGGGGAGGUACGGCCGCGAGACGUAAACGUUAAAGUAGUUAGUUAGUACGGCGUUGAGACGNGCCGACGGACGACGACGAGGGAGGAGG